GACGAACGCUGGCGGCGUGCUUAACACAUGCAAGUCGAACGGAAAGGCCCUGCUUUUGUGGGGUGCUCGAGUGGCGAACGGGUGAGUAACACGUGAGUAACCUGCCCUUGACUUUGGGAUAACUUCAGGAAACUGGGGCUAAUACCGGAUAGGAGCUCCUGCUGCAUGGUGGGGGUUGGAAAGUUUCGGCGGUUGGGGAUGGACUCGCGGCUUAUCAGCUUGUUGGUGGGGUAGUGGCUUACCAAGGCUUUGACGGGUAGCCGGCCUGAGAGGGUGACCGGCCACAUUGGGACUGAGAUACGGCCCCGACUCCUACGGGGGGCAGCAGUGGGGAAUAUUGCAAAAUGGGCGGAAGCCUGAUGCAGCAACGCCGCGUGCGGGAUGACGGCCUUCGGGUUGUAAACCGCUUUCGCCUGUGACGAAGCGUGAGUGACGGUAAUGGGUAAAGAAGCACCGGCUAACUACGUG
rnacentral:rRNA from 1 species